AUGGAUAUGGGCACUUCUCCUACCCUAUUUGUGCUUGAUCUUUAGUGUCUAGUCUACUAGAUUCAAAGAUUGUUUUCUUCGGAUUUCUAAUCUGCUCAGCAUGCGGUUGUGGUAGGUUUGCUAGGUGGUAAUGAAUUGUUUCUUUUGUAGAUUAGUGCCUUCUGUGUUCCCCUAACUGUGAACCUUGUUUUAUAAAUGUUUGAGCACGUUCAUUUAAAAAAAAUACAAGGAUGAACUUUUAGAGCAAUAAAGUUCUACCAAGAUUAUCUUUUGUCUUUAUGUUUUUUUAUCCUACGAAAUAUAUUAGUCUUGCAAUAAAAGGAGGGUGCUUUUCUCCGUGGACACAGAACAAAGCUAUGUCGUUUUGGAACUGUCAAAGUGUUCAGUUAGUAAAUUCUUUCACCUACAGAUUAUGAGAGUGGUCCUAACUUCGUUUUUAGAUUUCAACUUCACCUUAUGAUUUUUAUAAGUUUAUAUGAGUGGUUCAUCAAACAUAUUCAACUACCUCUUGAGUAGAUUCUAUAUUUUAUACACAUUCUAUCUUCUUCAAAGGAAAGGUGUGUUUUCAUAGUGCUAUGGUAACUUCCUUAUUAUUAUGUUAUCUAGGGCUUUAUAUUUACCACAUAUAUUAUGCAAGGUGAUGCAAUGAACCUUUCCUUGCUCAGUCAUGCCAGAAAAUAUAACAUUAAGUACUUGAAUUGGUAUCAAUUUUUCAGCCUUUGCCCUUUGCCUUCAUAGAGUCAGGAUGAUGAUAAGGAUAUUGAAAAUUGCCUGCUGCAGUCUAGGCUAUGUACCAACAUGGAAAAUUUUAAUUAGUUAGCCUUCAAAUUACUUAGAUACAUGCUGCAAGCAUGCAUACACAUGUAGAAGGAACUUGGUGGGCCCAUUUUACAAUAUGUAAAAAUGAUCAAUGUUUAUCCAUGUUUAUCCAUGCUUCCUGAUUGAUACAUGCCACAUUGCCACAUGCAUGACCUCUCUGUCUUAUGAUAUUUAUCUUUUUGUAAGUGUAAUCAUGCUUUCAGGUUGCAUAAUUUUUCAUCCUUCAAGAAUUGUAGCUAUAACCCCUGCUCCUAACCUCCUUAAUGGUAAAUAAGUGUUGGAAUGUGUGGACCUCUAUCAUUUAUGUUUCAACCAUCACAAUUCUUAAAUAUUAGAGGGAGCUCCGCCAUUAAAGUUUUGUAUGUUAUUAAUCAUAAACAUCACCUUUUCUGUCAAAAUUAUUAAAUCCUAAUGACUUAUCGUUACAUGUAGCCCUAAAAUUUGUAGCUAAUUUCAUUUUAAAAUAGCUUUUGUGGGGGGUUAUUACAGUUUUACUUUCUUUACAUGUUGAAGUCCGCGUAGCUUGGUUAAGUCUACUUGCUGUCAAAGCACUAAUCAACACACUACAUUUCUAAUAGUUCUGUUAACAGCGAGGAUUUCAUGUUUUAGCUGCUGUUCAGGUUAGCAGCUCAUGCUUUCAUCCUCCAUUCUUUUUAGCCUGUAUUGCAGCCUCAGUAAAUAACUAUAAAAUUAGUUUCCAAAGUUACGGUACUUGCUUAUUCAGAUAAAUAUGACAACUUCAUUUUGUUCUUCUAUUUAUUGCUACUUAGUUCACUUUUGUGUGCCUAUGCAUGGCACAGUUAGACAAACAACCACAUGCUUUUUCCUUAAUUUGUGCUAUCGGAAUAUUGUUUUGUCCUGUUUAAUGUACUUCUUAAUUGGAAGUUGUUAUUAUAAAACCAGAUAUUGUUCAAACAAAUGGCGAGAGCAAAUCUGAAUGAUGGGAAGUUAUUUUAAAUUUGCCAUGUACAUUCAUUCUAAGUUUCCUUCUUUUUCUCUCCAUGGUACAGUCAAUAGGUCUGGAUCAUAAGGUUUUCUCAAGUGGGGACAUCUUUUUCUGCUUCAUUUGUUGUAGAAAUAGAUGAGUAUCUCAAUGAUGGACAGAUGAUGGGAUGAAAGACAACAAGCUAGGACAAUAGAUGUUGAGUUCUUAUCAACCACUUUGCUUGCACAAUUCUUCUUCGAAACAUGAUAACCUGGUCUGUCUAGAGUAAAAUUUCCCUUCAUUGUCACGUGCUUUGCAGAAACAAAUAGUGAGAUAUGUCUUUGAUUGCUCAGGCACAAAUGUUGUGGUCUAUUGGAUUGCGAUUGGUGUUGUGCUUUGAUAAUGAUGCCAAUGCCUUUGUCAUACUAAUUUUGUAGUUGUCAGCAAAUAGGAUGCACGAAGAUCAGCUUUUUUUGCCUAGCUACACUACUGAUCCAAGAGUCUAUUGCGUUCCCAUACCAUGUGUCUGAUGAGUCAUUAUCAGAGCCAUGUCAAUGUAAAAGCUUCAUUGAUCAGGGCCCUUCUCAUGGUACAACAUGGUGGCUGUUUUUGGGGAAUGCGUCUAUGGAUUUAUGCCAGUGCGAAGUGGGGUCGGCAAGGUCUUCAGGAUGGGAUAUGGAUUGUUGUAAAUGAUCCUUAUAGCAACAAAUAUGAUGAUGUGAAAUUGCCUGAUAAGAAACCUGCUAGUUCACUCUUCCUAUUCACGAAGUUGUAUGGCUUCACUCUAUGUCCUUAUUGCCUGCUAGAUGAACAGGUAUUUCAUUCUACAAUUUAAGUAGUGCAUCUCUGUUACUUGUCUUCAAUGUUUAAAUUUCACGGUCUAUGUGGGUAACAGGUCACAAGUGUCGCAAGAUAUUGUCAUCUGCCUGCGAUUCCACAAUAAUGCUUCUGUCACUACCCACAGUUCCCUGUUUCCACUGAUAUUAAGUAGGAAGGCUUCUAUAUAUCUCAAACUGGAACAGAAUGGAAUUGUACCACCACAGUAUGUGCUCUUAAAAAGUUGCUUUGAAGACUGAAACAAAAAGGAAACCAUCUACUCCUCUUCUUGCAAAUGAAUGCGUCUAUAAUACUUCUACCACCCACAGUUCCCUUCUUCCACUGCUGCUAAGAACACCCUGCAUUCCUGAUUCAACAGCUGUUGUUGGGUUUCACCACAAAGAGGUGCAAGUACUGCUUAGUUUACAAUAAGAUUGGAGUGCCCUGCUUUUCGAUGCUUAAAAAGAUAGAAACACGAAUAGAGUGCAAUUAUUUUCUUUUCUUUACCAUGAGUAGAACUAUUACUUUCAACAUGUGUGAUGACGAAUCUUAUAUCCAUGUAACCAUCUUUUGACCAUUUACGAUGCCAUUUUUUUGAAUCAUGAUGUUGUAGCCAUACACCACAUGCUUGCUUCUAUCCAACUUGCUGAAUUACACCCGCGGCAACGCUCGGGGUUUCGGCUAGUUGUAUGUAUGUCUGACUUUUGCAUAUGCGGCAGACAGUGCCUAAUGUCUUUAUCUAAUUGUCCUCACCGUUUCAGACAUUUUAUAGUUUAUUUAUAUAACAUAUAUACCCUAUUAAUCUAUUGUAAUCCAUCAAUAACCCAAUUGGCCACGCGCGCAAGGGCGCGCGCGAUGUACUAGUACAAAUACAGCGCAAAAGGCCCGGCACUGCGCCCAAUUUAUUUUACUCCUCUAUGGAUUUGGAUGUAGCUAGCUACAAAUUUGUUAGUUUCAUAAAAGAAAAAAAAAUAGACUGGCUCCUGUUAGAAAACUUUAUAUGUUCGGCAUUGCAUGUUCUAUGCAUAUGUUUGGUCACUAUUUUUCUAGAACAUAUUUCUAAAAUUCUUUAAAUUUAACUAUUUAAGAGAUAGAAUACAAAUUUGUACAUAUAACUUACACGUUUCGAAACAAUGACAAUGUAAUAGUAUUGAUGUUUAUAGUUCUUAUAAGAUUUGACCAAGCUUUUUUUUUGUCAUAAACAACAUAUUUUGUGGAAGCAAAUUUUUUAGGGUACCUACCAAAAAGAAUUAAAAUAAACAGAAAAAGAUUUGUUAUAUGUAGCUGACUACCUGACCAUAGUAACAAUAACAAAAGAAGGCAAUACAGAUGGAAUCACAUAUUCCACCAAUCCAAAAUAAAACAACUUGAAGACUUGUCUCAAAUCAAGUUGUUUUGAAUUUGACUAGCUCUGUAACAAAUUACCACUACUUAUGGCCGCAAAUAAAUAAAGUAUAUUUAUAGUGUACAUGAUGAUACUAAUUUACUGUAAAAAAUGUUUGUAUUUUCAUCUAAAAAUUUGAUCAAACUUAAUAUAGAUUGAUCCAGUUAGAAUAAACUUUAGAAGUUUAUUUGUUCUGAGGCAACAAAAGUACAAUAACACCUAAUACUAAGAGUUGACUUAUGAUUUACUCUCUCUGUUCCAAAUUGUAAGGCAUUCUAGAUUUUCUAGAUAUGUAGUCUCACAAUAUGGAAAGGAGGGUGUUACAUUGGCUCUAUUCUGUAGAGCGGUCAGAAAAACUCUCCUCUGAUGAAGCAAAAUUAAGUGUGACGUCACGGGAGACUACCAUUGUUCGCUAGCACAUGGAGCACUCCUCCAUCUCAGCCUCCUAGAGGUUCCGCAUGCUCACUAUUAGGGGGCUUAGGGAUUUGCAGUUUGGUCUUGGCUUAAAUUUGAUUUCGCCCACUGGCAUAUACUUGAUUUAUGUCUCAAUAUGCUUCAUUUUGAUUUGGUAGUUGUCUAUGAUGUUUUCGAUUUGGUCCCAACUUGAUCAAUGUUCUUGUUUUGAUCUCGCUCUGAUGUAGGGUGGCCUAAAUUCGCUCCUCUUGCAUCUCGCGGUACAAUAUGGAAAACUCCUUCAGCUUGUACUGGUCUCGAAACUUAGAAGUGAAGGAAAAGGUGAAUGCGGGAGGAUCAGACGAAAAUUAUAUUUGGCAUUAAUUUGGCUCUUUAAUACAUUAGAAAUUAGCGGCAACAACACAAAGGAAAGGAAAUAGGAAGCAUCAAAGGCGGAAUACUAGCACCUACUUCUACAUGUGAAUUUUUGGCCCAACCUGAAGUAACGCUGGGCUGUUGGGCCAAAUUGUUACUCCCAACACGCGAGAGGAGCAAGCGAGUCAGCGUACGCCAGCGUCGC